AAAGAGCCAGUUCCAACUUAAAUCUGUGGAGAGUUUUUAUUUGGGGGGGCUAUGUCAAUUGCAGCCAUGGUGUUUGGAGAUUACAAGGGUCAUUAGCUGUAUCUAGAGGGAUUGGUGAUUCACAUCUUAAGAAAUGGGUAAUUGCAGAGGCC